GCAGGUAUGGUUCAUCGGUAGAACGCUGGCUUCCCAAGCCGGAGAGACGGGUUCGACUCCCGCUACUUGCU
rnacentral:tRNA from 2 species